GUAUAAUUAAUACAAUGCUUUGUGAAUAUGAAAUACACAAGUAAUCAGUGUCUUCCUAUUUCCUUUCUAUUAUAAGAAUAAUAACUACCAUUUAUUAAGAGUCAACCAUGUCCUGGACACUUGUCAACUCCGCAAGCAGUUCCAAGUCCUUCCCACCUCUCAGCUGUGAAUAGAAGUGAUAACCCUUCCCACUAAGAAAUGCAAAGAAGCACACAUGCCCCAUAAUCUGAAGACUUAUGGAAACACUGUGAGAUAGAGAUCCCUGAAGAGCCCCCCACAUAAAGAACUGUAGAGCUGCACUGACCAGUAGGAUGCUCCAUUUUAAAUUGCCUGGAUCAAGAAUGCAAUAGCAGUUAUAUCACUGAUGGGCAGUGAUCCGUCUGCCAGCACAUAUUUUUAUUUCAGUUGACAUUAAAUAAUAUGUCUCUAACAAAUGCUUUAUAUAAAGGGAACAACUCUGAAGUUGGAGGAUUCGCUUCAUAAUGCGUGCAUAUAAAAGACAUUUCAUCAAGAGAUGAAGAAUGCUAAAAAUAUUAAGGUAUCAUUGCAACCUUUUGACAUUUUGAUGAAAUCGAAUCAUCCAAAAACUAUAAUCAGUGCUGCAGAUAAAGAAAGCCUAAAAUUUGUUUCUAGCAAGCCAACUAUUACUGUUUUUUGUUUUUUUUCAAUUAAGUAGUGGACUGUCUUUAAUCAUGAGAUAUAGUCGUGUUAUAUUCCAUGUUCUGGGUUAUGUGCAACUUUAUUUGUGAAGGUGUGUUUUGUACCAAAGGCUCUCAUACAUAGAUUAGCCCAUUUACAUAUAAAUAAGUGAAGUCUACACUGUGCCCAAAUGAAUGGUAUUAAAGACAGACUUGCCUAAAAGAAAUGUGCCUUGCUUGAUUAAACAUUCUUUUAUUUUUUAAUUCAAAAUGAUAAAUUUGCAAAUUAGCCUUAUAGGUUUUAGCUGAGCUGAACUUGACAAAAAUGUAUUAGUACUUAUUACAUGUUUUAAUAUUCUAUCUUAAUUAAAAUUGUAACAUUUAGUUAUACUUUCAACAGUUCAUAUAUAAUAUAUUCAUUUAAUUUUGUUUUCAUGGGAUGUUUGGUGUGGUGAGACAAAGCACAUUCUUAAAGAUAUAUAUAAUAUUUCAUCUAAUGUUUAUAGCUUUUCCUUCAAAAUUAUAUAUGUAAAAGUUUCCUUAACUCAUUUUCUAUUUUUAUAUUCUUUUAGAAAUGGAACUCUUUUUCAAUUAAAAAAAAAGUUUUAGUUGGAAAAGAGAUUUAGGAGGUCAUGAAGAUGGCUUCCCAUUUGGGGACAUUUCACUUCUGUGCCAUUAAUGUAUUUACUGUGACAUUUCAGCAGAAUGGUAGCUAUUUGUAUAUUAUUUCAUAAGCCUUAUGGAAAGUCAAACUGUGAAAAUUUAUUAUAUAGAACGCUUUUUUAUUUCCAUAUUUUAGUUUCAAAAUAUACCUGAACAAAUGCAUAAAUAACCAAUCCUCUGUUGUUUAAAUGUAUAACCAUGCUAUGUUAUAAUAAGAGCACUUGUAGAAUUUUAGUAACUAUAAAAAUAUUUCAGUAGCAAAGCCAAGAUUAUAAAUGUUUUGAUCCCCUACAGAAUGGAGUAAAAGUGAUGAAUUGCAUUGUAUGAGAAUCAGUAACUAAAACAAUCUUAUGCCUGCAGCCAAACAGAUAGAUAAAUAAGAGAUACAAUCUAGGUAACUUUCUUUGAGGCAAGGUCUACAAUGAAUGUCUCACAAUCUGCUGGUAAUUUCUUUGUGUCAAAAUUUUGAGACUAGAUCACUACAGGAAAAAAUGAAAGUCUGACAGCUAUCUCAGAUUUGAGCUAUGUGAACUUUUAGUCAAGACGAUUUGUGAUUAAAGUGAAAAUUUAGCCACUGCCUUGUCUUUGUUCUAUGUUAGCCCAUUUAGUAGAGAUAUGGGCCUGGAGAAUAGUCAGUCCAUUGCAGCAAACAUAAUCCUUAUAACUAAUUAUCACAGCCUGGGUAACAGUAAAGUAAUGCAUAUUAGCUACUGGGAUGAUUGAAACAAACUGAUCAACUGUGUUACAGGAGGUCUUAGACAUUCAGAUGUUUUAGUAAGGAUCAGUAGGUGUUACAAAAAUAGACACAAAAACUACCUUUAUAAAACACGAAUGAAACAACUGUAUGCAUUAUAGUAUAUUUAAUAUCUGAAUUAUUAUUACAGUUUCAAAUAAAGACAAAACCUGGAUUUUUGUGAUAAAAGCACAGGAUGGUGUCAGAUGAGUAAACUGUUAUACUGAAUAUGAUUCACAGAAAGGAUAGUAAAAAUGCUACUGGUUUAGAUAACAGUAGACCAGAAUAUUUAUUCACUUUCUACCUGUGGGACCUUAGGUAAAUCUGUUACAUUACUAGGCUUCAGUUUGCAGGCUUGAAUUGCAAGAUGGGCGUGCUGGAUUCAAUGAUCUCCAAAGCCCUUACCAGUCCCCAAAUUCUCAUUAUACACAUUUGAGAAAUGCUUUGAAGAAAACAGGGCCGGGUGCGGUGGCUCACGCCUGUAAUCCUAGCACUUUCGGAGGCCAAGGCAGGUGUAUCACAAGGUGUGAAGAGUUCGAGACCAGCCUGGCCAACAUAGUGAAACCCCAACUCCACUAAAAAUACAAAAAUUAGCUGGGCAUGGUGGUACAUGCCUGUAGUCCCAGCUACUCGUGAGGCUGAGGCAGGAGAACCGCUUGAACCCAGGAGGUGGAGGUUGCAGUGAGCCAAGAUCAUGCCACUGCACUUAGCUUGGGCAACAGAGUGAGACUUUGUCUCAGAAAAAAAGAAAACUUAAGUACCCAGAUUUUCUUAUGCAGGAAAGAAACAUGAAGUAAGAUUUAAGCCUUGAAAGUAUCAUAAAUAUAUCAUUCUUCAGAUUGAUUGUGAUGAAAGGAAAUAGGAUUCUUUCUCCUUAGAAUUUUCACUGAUCUAUAAUGGGAUCAAAAAAGUAGAAAAAUCAGUCUGCAGAAUGAAAACAGAUUAAUGAAAUAGCUAGAAAGGAGGGGAGAGCAUUUGUUUAGUUAAAUGUUAAGGUAACUUGAAAAUUGUCUAUGAAAUGCUAAAACUGUACCAGAGCCUUAUUGCACACUCAACAUUUUAAGCCUGGGAGCAGGGGAAGGUGGGAAAAGGUUGGAGUGAUAGAAGUGUUUGCCUUAUGAUCUCUUGACUCCUUUUACACAAGAAGCAGAUUGGUAGAGCUUAAGCAGGUGUCUGUGCUGUGGUGCUGGCUCUGCCAAAAACUCUCAUAUACCCUAGGAAAGUUCCUUUAACUUCUCUGAGCCUGAGUUUAUCUGUAAAGUGAAGACUUUUUAAAUUUAGUAAUCUGUAUGUCUCUUCAUCUCUGAGAAUUCUAUAAUGUUUUCAGAUUGUUAUAUGUGUACAUGUACAUGUUGCUUCCCUCUAGUCACUAAGAUGCCACAUAUUUCUACUUGAGUGAACAGAUUGCAAGUCCAAAUGUUCUUGUUUCUAAUACUAAUAAUUGAUCUCAGCAAGACAUAAAAAAGUAAAAAAAAAAAGUAAUCUUACCUUUUAUUUGACCUUGGCUUUAAAUUAUUGAUUUAUCAUUUCAUCUUUGAAUGCUGAGUGAAUUACCUAAACAGAAUGUCUGUUCCAGUUAAUCUUCUCUUUAAAUUUUUGUAGUUUAAUAAACAUGUAGCAAAUCAGAAGCAAGUAUAUCAUGCUUAUCGAUGAACUGUAGGAGAUUGUAAUGGUGCAUUUUUGUCACAUUAAAAAGUUCAUGUCCUUUUGGUCCCAGAAGCAAUUACUAUAAUUUAAAAUAAUAUUCACAAAAUUUUGUGAAUGUUUUUGAAUACAAAGGAGGCCUAAUACAGCCAUAUUGUAGUUCAUUUUGCUCAGGAGUGAGAAACAAAAUUCAGGGAUAACCCAAACAUGUCUGUUUGGCAAUAGUGGAUAGUUAGGUAAAGAAGGGUUAUAGCUUUUGCACAUCACAGAUAAGAGGCGACUGUACCUAUUGAAAAACAGCAGUAUAUUCUGGUUCUUGGUUUCAUGAUGGAAAGAUAUUAGAAUGAUACUAAAAUUUGGAUGCUCGGGAAAUUGAAUAAUACAGAAAUAUUUUGUCAUACUGAGAUUAUUUGUCCAGAAGUUUAGUCUUAUAUCCUUUCCAUUCAGAAAAGGGGGCAGUUUUUAAAGGCCUCUGUCAUAAAAGGAAAUGUAUAUUUUGACUAGUGGAGCAAUUAGUUAAAACAUUUAAUCUGAUCAUUUUGGUUUUAUGGAUCUGAAUUUCCACUUUAGGUGUAAUUGAGUCGCUUAUGUAUUACUGUGAUCUUUGUGAGAAGUGAUUUCGUCCAUUUUUUUAAAUUUGAUGAAACUUGAUAAAUGGUGAUUCUAGCAUAUUGUGUUAAUACUGUAUCUUACAACAAUUUGUGAACUGACCAUCAUAAACGAAUCAUAGUAGUAUCUCUUCUGGUAAGUUGUUUCUAUAUGUGAUCUCUUAAUGCUGGGUUUGGGGGUGGGAAUGGGGUUAAGUAUUUAGUUUAUUUUAAACUGUCAAAGUGUUUUUCUUAAAUGCCAUAAAAUUAUAUGACUAUAAGCCAAAUAAGAAUAUUCUCUUUUUUCACUUUUAAGGGCACUGUAUAGACCAUUUUUGAAACUAUCCCACAGAAUGGUAUAAUUUCAGUUUAAAAGCUCUUACACACAUACACACACACAAAUAUAAAUAUAUAUAUACACAUUCAAGGGAAAGCAAACAGUGUAUGUAGUAUUUCUAAGUGACAUGCUACAUGUUAUAAGAAUCUAUUUUUGAAAUCUUAUACAGAUUAUGCAGAAGUCAGAAUAACAAAUACAACACCUCAAUUUUUUAUACAGUCUAGCGUUAGUUUACUAUAAGAUUUGCUUACAUCAUACUUGCAAAGAUCAUUCACAUAAUUUAUUUAGCGUUGAAAAUAUUUAUAUGAAGUACUAAUGUCAUCUGAAGCUUAGAGAUUAAACAACCAAGGUUUAGAAAGAUCAAAUGACUAGUCCAAGAUAAUAUGGCCAAUAAAUGGCUCUAAAUCUCCUAUGUUCUUUAUACUAUUCACUUUUUGUCAUGUUAUUUUUAUCCUGUCACUGCCAUUAUCUUUAAAAUUCUGACAAAAAUUUAAUUUUAAAAGUUACAUUGGGAAUUUUCAGAUUUUAGUGCAAAGACAUUGUUGCUGUUCUUGUCAGACCUUUUCAGAUACCUCCAGACUAUAGCCCUUCCACAGGGUGAUAUUCAAACAUUUUCCACCUAAAACGUAUAAGUUUGCACACCCUGACUACAGACACUGAAUUCACUUGAUGUCAGAAUGCUAGACUAAAAGUUGAUCUUCUUGACUGACAUUUCUAAUCUCCCUUUUUAAAAAUCCAUCAUAAGGACUGACUUCUGAACAGUUGAAUAAAGCAGUAAUCAAUCCAAGAAACUGCAUCCAUUCUGAUUCAGAGGAAAAAAAAAUCCAACCUAGUGACCAUUUUUCAGCAUACUGUAUUUCAUCACAUUUAUUCUGUGAUUAGUGGAGGACAGAGAAGAGGGACUGGGGAGAAAAACUGCCUUUAUUUUAAGAAAGCUCAUUUCCUGUAACUAUUCAAAAAGAAUUGAUUAUCAAGUGUUAGAUAACAAUAUUACUAACAUUUAUCAUAGUUCAAAUAUUUAGUAAAAUUUCUCCACAUAUUUAAAAUUUUACUUAAGAGUUUUCCCAGUGAAAAUAUAAUGACUGCUUCGUUUGAAUAAGGAAGACAUUCCUUUCAAUUCAUGACACAAUAGUACAUUUUUAUUCUUUUCUCAGACAGCAGAGAGACACUGUUACUGCUUUCCCUUGUAAGUCAACAGUCUGUGAUACAUGCUGUACUUUUACUGAUUAGCAAUGCAAUGUUACUGUGAAUAUUUAACUAGAACUUAUUAUAUUGGAAUUUAAAAUUUUCUAACAUUGAAUUUAGUUCUCUUCAUCAAAUAAAUAAGCAAGCAUUAUUUUUAUGAAAUGAAAUAAUCAUUCUUAAGCAGUGAUGAUAAUGGAAUUCUGAAUAAGAUGUAAAAUCAAACAUUCUAUUUUUUCUGUUUAUCCUUUGACAUUGAGUUGUUUUAAUUUAUUACAUAUUAUUAAGUUGAAAUAAGCUUUAUACCAUGUUCUCUGAUGUUCUUGUCAUAAUAAUUUCGGGCCUUUUGUUAAGUAAAUAUCAGAAAAUAUCUGUGAGUUUUGAUUAUGUGAUAUUUUCAUCUGAUUGAUUUUUUAAAUUUCUCAUUGGAUUUAAAGUGUUUUCUUUGCUAAUGUUAUAUACAGAAUUCAAUAAAAGAC